rnacentral:rRNA from 1 species
UACGAAGAGGGCUAGCGUUGUUCGGAAUUACUGGGCGUAAAGCGUACGUAGGCGGAUCUGUAAGUAGGGGGUGAAAUCCCCGGGCUCAACCCGGGAACUGCCUUCUAGACUGCAGACCUUGAGAUCAGGAGAGGCGAGCGGAAUUCCGAGUGUAGAGGUGAAAUUCGUAGAUAUUCGGAGGAACACCAGUGGCGAAGGCGGCUCGCUGGACUGAUACUGACGCUGAGGUGCGAAAGCGUGGGGAGCAAACAGG